rnacentral:rRNA from 1 species
CGGGGUGCAGCAGGCGCGAAACCUCUGCAAUAGGCGAAAGCCUGACAGGGUUACUUUGAGUGAUUCCCGCUAAGGGGAUCUUUUGGCACCUCUAAAAAUGGUGCAGAAUAAGGGGUGGGCAAGCCUGGUGUCAGCCGCCGCGGUAAUACCAGCACCCCGAGUGGUCGGGAUGAUUAUUGGGCCUAAAGCAUCCGUAGCCGGCCACGCAAGUCCUCCGUUAAAUCCACCCGCUCAACGGUUGGGCUGCGGAGGAUACUACGUGGCUAGGAGGCGGGAGAGGCAAGCGGUACUCAAUGGGUAGGGGUAAAAUCCUUUGAUCCAUUGAAGACCACCAGUGGCGAAGGCGGCUUGCCAGAACGCGCUUGACGGUGAGGGAUGAAAGCUGGGGGAGCAAACCGGAUUAGAUACCCGGGUAGUCCCAGCUGUAUAACGAUGCAGACUCGGUGAUGGGAUGGCCUCGAGCCAUCCCAGUGCCGCAGGGAAGCCGUUAAGUUUGCCGCCUGGGGAGUACGGUCGCAAGACUGAAACUUAA